rnacentral:rRNA from 1 species
CCUACGGGAGGCAGCAGUAGGGAAUAUUGCUCAAUGGUGGAAACCCUGAAGCAGCAAAGCCGCGUGGAGGAUGAAGGUUUUCGGAUUGUAAACUUCUUUUGUUAGAGAAGAUAAUGACGGUAUGUAAGGAAUAAGCAACGGCUAACUCCGUGCCAGCAGCCGCGGUAAUACGGAGGGUGCAAGCGUUACUCGGAAUCACUGGGCGUAAAGAGCGCGUAGGCGGGAUAGCAAGGCAGAUGUGAAAUCCUAUGGCUUAACCAUAGAACUGCAUUUGAAACUGUUAUUCUAGAGUAUGGGAGAGGUAGGUGGAAUUCUUGGUGUAGGGGUAAAAUCCGUAGAUAUCACGAGGAAUACUCAUUGCGAAGGCGACCUGCUGGAACAUAACUGACGCUGAUGCGCGAAAGCGUGGGGAGCAAACAGGAUUAGAUACCCCGGUAGUC